rnacentral:rRNA from 1 species
GACGAACGCUGGCGGCGUGCCUCAUACAUGCAAGUCGAGCGGAUGUAGCAAUACAUCAGCGGCGGACGGGUGAGUAACACGUGGGCAACCUGGCCUUAAGAGGGGGAUAACGUCCCGAAAGGGACGCUAAUACCGCGUAAAUCAACGAGAUCGCAUGAUUUUGUUGGAAAAGGAGCAAUCCGCUUAAGGAUGGGCCCGCGGCCUAUUAGCUAGUUGGUAGGGUAACGGCCUACCAAGGCGACGAUAGGUAGCCGACCUGAGAGGGUGAACGGCCACACUGGAACUGAGAAACGGUCCAGACUCCUACGGGAGGCAGCAGUAGGGAAUAUUCCGCAAUGGGCGAAAGCCUGACGGAGCAACGCCGCGUGAGUGAAGAAGGUUUUCGGAUCGUAAAGCUCUGUCAACAGGGACGAAACAAGACGGUACCUGAGAAGGAAGCCACGGCAAACUACGUGCCAGCCGCCGCGGUAACAC